rnacentral:lncRNA from 1 species
UCGGAUUUGGAAUCAAAAUGCAAACUCUUGGCUGAGAAGGAUGCCCAGGCCAUCACCUUGGAGAAGCAGAUAAGGAAGGAGCCUGCUCACGCGGCGGCUAAUGAGCGUAUCCGCGACUUCCUAAUUGCCAAGGCUCAAGUCAAGCACCUCCAUCCUACUAUUAACCUUGACCUCCUGGGGGCUUUCAAGAAGGUUACCCCCACCGGACUGGUGGGUCCAGAAGAUCCGCCGAAAGUUGCUUGCGUUGACCUUGGAGACACUGUGGAAUAAGAGAAAAAAAUAUAAUGUUAACCUAUUUCGAGUUAUUGUAACGCUUAGUACCUCUUUACUUCGUUUAAACUUUUUGUUUGUAUUUUACUUUCAAGGUUAAUCGAUUCAGCUUUACUUCUUUAUGUUUUAUGCUUGUUUUAGCGCUUUUAGAGUUUUUCUCUCUCGCACCCCCCAUAGUUCCCUUGUUUCUGAGUUACGUCUGACGAUAUUGAUGGUGUGCCUUGUUUAACUAGGACUUUUGCUCAGUUUUUUAACCGAGGCUUUGUCCACACCAUAUUUCCCUUAAGAGCAGGUGCGGCCUCGCCAGUUUUGUCCUGUCGAUGACUUAUUGCUGCUAGGGACCCAAUGACCAUAUAAGUUUACCCAGACUUAUGCCUAGUUAGGUUCGCUCGCCCAUAUUUUGGGGAGGUUUUUUAGGAUAAGAAGCUUAUCCGUACACAUCGCCAACGAGUGACGGCGAGCUGCGUCGGCUUUUCCGGAGCGAUCCCCAGACAUCAAGGUCGUGUGGGAUCGCCACCU